rnacentral:rRNA from 1 species
AUCAACGCUGGCGGCGCGCUUAACACAUGCAAGUCGAACGAAGAAAGGGGAGCAAUCCCUGAGUACAGUGGCGUACGGGUGAGUAACACGUGGGUGAUCUACCUCUGAGUGAGGAAUAACCCUGGGAAAACCGGGGCUAAUACCGCAUAAGGCCCGAGAGGGGGAAAGUCCGCAAGACGCUGGGAGAGGAGCCCGCGGCCGAUUAGCUAGUUGGGAGGGUAAGAGGCCUACCAAGGCGACGAUCGGUAGCCGGCCUGAGAGGGCACACGGCCACAACUGGCACUGAAACACGGGCCAGACUCCUACGGGAGGCAGCAGUGGGGAAUCUUGCACAAUGGGGGGAAACCCUGAUGCAGCGACGGCCGCGUGAGCGAUGUAGCCCUUCGGGGUUGUAAAGCUCUUUCGGCAGGGACGAUGAUGACGGUACCUGCAGAAGCAGCUGCGGCUAACUACGUGCCAGCAGCCGCGGUAAUACGUAGGCAGCGAGCGUUGUUCGGAGUUACUACUGGGCGUAAAGGGUGUGUAGGCGGUUCUUCAAGUUUGGUGUGAAAUCUCCCGGCUCAACCGGGAGGGGUGCGCCGGAUACUGAGGGGGCUUGGAGUGCGGGAUGGGAGAGUGGAAUUCCUGGUGUAGCGGUGAAAUGCGUAGAUAUCGGGAGGAACACCGGCGGUGUAGACGGCUCUCUGGACCGUAACUGACGCUGAGACACGAAAAGCGUGGGUAGCAAACAGGAUUAGAUACCCUGGUAGUCCACGCCCCUAAACGAUGCACAUUCGGUGUGGGCAGUUCAUUCUGUCCGUGCCGGAGCUAACGCGUUAAAUGUGCCGCCUGGGGAGUAACAGUCGCAAGGCUGAAACUCAAAGGAAUUGACGGGGGCCCGCACAAGCGGUGGAGCAUGUGGUUCAAUUCGACGCAACGCGAAGAACCUUACCUGGGCUCGAACGGCUGGUCAACGGAGGUGGAAACACCUUUACCCCGCAAGGGGGUCCAGCCGAGGUGCUGCAUGGCUGUCGUCAGCUCGUGUCGUGAGAUGUUGGGUUAAGUCCCGCAACGAGCGCAACCCUCGUCCUGUGUUGCCAUUCCGCAAGGAGGAACUCGCAGGAGACCCGCCAGCGAUAAGUUGGAGGAAGGUGGGGAUGGACGUCAAGUCCUCAUGGCCUUUAUGUCCAGGGCUACACACGUGCUACAAUGGCCGGUACAAAAGCGCAGCGAACCCGCGAGGGGGAGCCAAUCGCAGAAAGCCGGUCUCAGUUCGGAUUGCAGGCUGCAACUCGCCUGCAUGAAGCUGGAAUCGCUAGUAAUGGCAGAUCAGCACGCUGCCGUGAAUACGUUCCCGGGCCUUGUACACACCGCCCGUCACAUCACGAAAGUGGGUUGUACUAGAAGUCUGCAGGCUGACCCGCAAGGGAGGGCAGCGGCCCAAGGUAUGACUCAUGAUUGGGGUG